GACGAACGCUGGCGGCGUGCUUAACACAUGCAAGUCGAACGGAAAGGCCUCUUUCUUGUGGUACUCGAGUGGCGAACGGGUGAGUAACACGCGAGUAAAAUGCCCUUUACUUUGGGAUAACUCUAGGAAACAGGGGGUAAUACCCGGGAGAGGCUCCUGCGGCGUGGUGGGGGGGUGGAAGUUUUGGCGGGUGGGGGUGUAAUCUCGGGGUAUCUGCUUGUUUGUGGGGUGGUGGCUUACCCAGGCGUUUUCGGGUAGCCGGCCCGAGAGGGUGUACGGGCACAUUGGGGAUGAGGUAAGGCCCAGACUCCUACGGGAGGGAGCAGGGGGGAAUAUUGCACAAUGGGUGGAAGCCUGAUGCAGCAAAGCCGUGGGCGGGAUGACGGCCUUCGGGUUGUAAACCGGUUUCGGUCAUGACGGAGCUUUGUGUGACGGUAGUGGGUAAAGAAGCACCGGCUAACUACGUG
rnacentral:rRNA from 1 species